GCUGGCGUGGUGGAAUUGGCAGACACGCUAUCUUGAGGGGGUAGUGGGCUAAUGCCCGUGCGGGUUCGAGUCCCGCCGCCAGCA
rnacentral:tRNA from 1 species